rnacentral:rRNA from 1 species
CUACGGGGGGCACCAGUGAGGAAUAUUGCACAAUGGGGGGAACCCUGAUGCAGCAACGCCGCGUGGAGGAUGACGCAUUUCGGUGUGUAAACUCCUUUUAUAUGUCAAGAAAAUGACGGUAGCAUAUGAAUAAGCACCGGCUAACUCCGUGCCAGCAGCCGCGGUAAUACGGAGGGUGCAAGCGUUACUCGGAAUCACUGGGCGUAAAGGACGCGUAGGCGGGUUGGAAAGUCAGGUGUGAAAUCCUACAGCUUAACUGUAGAACUGCACUUGAAACUUCUAAUCUAGAGUAUGGGAGGGGGAGAUGGAAUUAGUGGGGGAGGGGUAAAAUCCGUAGAUAUCACUAGGAAUACCUAAAGCGAAGGCGAUCUCCUGGAACAUUACUGACGCUAAGGCGUGAAAGCGUGGGGAGCAAACAGGAUUAGAUACCCCCGUAGUC